GGGAGUGUAGUUCAGUGGGUAGAGCACUUGUCUGGCCUGCAUGAAACCCUGGGUUCCAUCCCCAGUACAGCUA
rnacentral:tRNA from 1 species